rnacentral:rRNA from 1 species
GACAGAGGAUGCAAGCGUUAUCCGGAAUGAUUGGGCGUAAAGCGUCUGUAGGUGGCUUUUUAAGUCCGCCGUCAAAUCCCAGGGCUCAACCCUGGACAGGCGGUGGAAACUACCAAGCUGGAGUACGGUAGGGGCAGAGGGAAUUUCCGGUGGAGCGGUGAAAUGCGUAGAGAUCGGAAAGAACACCAACGGCAGAAAGCACCUCUGCUGGGCCGACACUGACACUGAGAAGACGGAAAGCUAGGGGGAGCGAAAUGGG